UUAGUUCGCUUAUCCCUUGGAUUGUACCUUACUACUUGGAUAACUGGAAAUUCUAGAGCUAAUGCAUGCAGCAGAGACUGACCCUCUAGGGACAAGAGAGCACUGACCCUCUAGGGACGAGUGUUUUUCUAUCAUCAAAACCAAUCGGACCUUGUGUCCGUGUUAUGUAGUGACUCUAUAUAACUUUGGGCUAAUCGCACGGGCACGUCCCGGCGACGUGUCUUCUAAGUGUCUGUUUUAUCAACUGCCGAUGGAAGGUCGUCUACCAUGGAUAUAACGGGUGAUGGGAAAUCAGGGUCCCAUUCCG
rnacentral:ncRNA from 1 species